rnacentral:rRNA from 1 species
CACCACAGCCAUAUCACCCUGCAGCCCAAGAUCGGUUACUCACUAAAGCUAAGCAGGGCUGAGCCUGGUUAGUACCUGGAUGGGAGACCACUAGGGAACACUAGGUUGCUGUUGGAA